UACGUAGGGUGCGAGCGUUGUCCGGAUUUAUUGGGCGUAAAGGGCUCGUAGGCGGCGUGUCGCGUCGGGAGUGAAAGACCGGGGCUUAACCCCGGUUCUGCUUCCGGUACGGGCAUGCUGGAGUGUGGCAGGGGAGACUGGAAGUUCCUGGUGUAGCGGUGGAAUGCGCAGAGUAUCAGGAGGAACACCGGUGGCGAAGGCGGGUCUCUGGGCCAUUACUGACGCUGAGGAGCGAAAGCGUGGGGAGCGAACAGG
rnacentral:rRNA from 1 species